UGUGUGUGUGUGUGUGUGUGUGUGUGUGUGUGUGUGUGUGUGUGCGCGCGCGCGCCCCUGCUCUUGCUAUGCUCCCAAAAG
rnacentral:miRNA from 1 species